AGCCCUUCGGGGUGGAUUAGUGGCGAACGGGUGAGUAACACGUGGGCAAUCUGCCCUUCACUCUGGGACAAGCCCUGGAAACGGGGUCUAAUACCGGAUAACACUCUGUCCCGCAUGGGACGGGGUUGAAAGCUCCGGCGGUGAAGGAUGAGCCCGCGGCCUAUCAGCUUGUUGGUGGGGUAAUGGCCUACCAAGGCGACGACGGGUAGCCGGCCUGAGAGGGCGACCGGCCACACUGGGACUGAGACACGGCCCAGACUCCUACGGGAGGCAGCAGUGGGGAAUAUUGCACAAUGGGCGAAAGCCUGAUGCAGCGACGCCGCGUGAGGGAUGACGGCCUUCGGGUUGUAAACCUCUUUCAGCAGGGAAGAAGCGAAAGUGACGGUACCUGCAGAAGAAGCGCCGGCUAACUACGUGCCAGCAGCCGCGGUAAUACGUAGGGCGCAAGCGUUGUCCGGAAUUAUUGGGCGUAAAGAGCUCGUAGGCGGCUUGUCACGUCGGAUGUGAAAGCCCGGGGCUUAACCCCGGGUCUGCAUUCGAUACGGGCUAGCUAGAGUGUGGUAGGGGAGAUCGGAAUUCCUGGUGUAGCGGUGAAAUGCGCAGAUAUCAGGAGGAACACCGGUGGCGAAGGCGGAUCUCUGGGCCAUUACUGACGCUGAGGAGCGAAAGCG
rnacentral:rRNA from 1 species